CAUUACAGCUGAAAGGGAAAGCCAGGCCUCUGUGUGCUUGCUCUGCCCUGCAGUGUAUUUGAGAUUGUGGACAUGGUGUGGUCUUUUGCCUGAUGUUCAUUCUAAGAGAAGCCAGGGAUGGUCCCGAGCUUUGAGAGAGGCGUUGGAAUGGACUUCCCAUCUUUGGCUGAAUGCAUCCACAGUGGAUUGAAAGGAUCUGGGUUCUCUCCUUGUUUUUUUCUUGAAAGCUAAUUUCAAUGAUUGGUGUAAGAGGUUUCUACUCCAGCUCUGAAGAUAUUUUAUGUUGCCAAUCUUGGCUUAUAAUGAUUUCAAUUUAUAUAAAU